UUUAGUCAAAAUAAAAGACCACUAACGUUUCAAAACCUAUAAAAACGCUGCAAUCCAGUUCUUUGUUUCUGCAUCUUUCUCUGCAACAAUGGCAGCAGAUAAGGAAGAAGGGUGUGUUUAGCAUGAAUACUUGAUAGCCUUAUAAAGCCUUUGGAUUUUCAUCCUUUCAGGGAAAUCUAAUCGAGGCCUAGAGCAAAAAACAAGACCUCCAAUUGGAAAACACAUGUAGUGUUCGACAAAUAACCUAAACCAUUACUAGCUUAGUUCCACUGGGUUUCUGCCAUGGAUUCGUUGGCUAUUUACAAUGAGUUAGAAGAAGAAUUUGAAGUUGAUAUGGAACUGAAGAAUGAGUAGUGUUCACUGAUCUGGUUUAGGGUUUAGGCGAGAAAUCAUUUGAUGGGGAUAAUUGUCUGUCAUCGAUUCACAGUGAUGGAGGAAAAUGACCUGUGUGCACAGAAGAACAUCAUCAACAACAACAAGAAAGAGAGGAUAUUGAAACUAGGGCUGUUGAAGGUGCUUGGAUGGCAUCAGUUGGUGAUAUUGUCACUAUUACGUGAUUUGUUUUGAAUCCUUUGAUAUAUGCCUAAUUCUGAUACUCUAUAGCUUGGUAUAGGCUCUAUAGUAGCUUAUAUAAUCUUUAGUGGUUUAUGCAAAAGAGAUGUGUCUCAACAGUACCUACAACCAUGAUUAAGAGAUUUACCUGCUGAAGGUGCUUGGAAGUCAUGCUAUCAGUUGGUAGCCUUUCAGUGGGUGAUAGGAGCUCUGAUCUGCACCCAUUGUACCCAAUGGGUGAUAGGAGCUCUGAUCUGCACCGGUUGUACCCAAUAAGGUCCGAAUGGGAUGGAGUCGUGUUCGAUAAUACUCUACACCAAGCCAACAAAAUAGCUACGAUCUGCACCCGCUGUCUAGGAUUCAUGCAAGAUGAUACCCAUAACGGGUUAAUGUGCUACUGUUUUUGAUCUAAGAUACAUUUUUAGUUUGUCACACUCUAAGGUGAGUUUAUGAAUUAAUGUUUAAACACUCCUGUUUAUAGCCAUCCAAUUUUGAGGCGCCCGUAAGAUCAUAUUGUUGUCUUAGUUAUGUAGUAUAACAUCUUAGCUAUUUAGUAUAACUCUCAUCAGUUUAUCCAAAUUUCCAGUUAAUACUUAAUCAUCCUUGAAGAUGUCAAGAAAGUAUACAUUAUUUGUCAUCUAAUUUAUUAGGCUGGCAAUUUAGUUCAUAUAAACUAUAUAUAUAGGAUGAUAGCCGACUGGCAAUUAGGCACUACAAAGGUUGAUGUUUUGUUCACUGAAGUAGAAUAAUGUACAAAGAGAUAAUGUGCAGAUAAUGCGAGAUAACCAUGAUGGAGUUUGUACAAAAAGAUCACAUUGGUAUAAUAAUGUGGUAAGUAUGUACUAAUUUAUACGGGGUAAUUUUUCAACUCUAAACUGUUAUAUCUUUAUACAUUGCUUGGUAAGAUGUACAGUUUUCCCAUGAAAUUAUUGCAUGUAAGCAUUUUAAAGCAUCUCUAUGUAUAUCUCUGUGAAUAAGGAAGAGCCAGGAUUUGAUAUCUAUGUAGAAUUGUUACGCAACCAACACAUGAUUGAGAAGCGAAAUGACAAAUAUAGAUGGAGUGAUGGCUUUGGAUGUGACAUUAUUUUGAUUUCUAAAUUGAGUUAGUGUUUCAACAUCUAAUAUUUACUGCCUAUAAAAGCAUAUGUCGUUAGAUGUAUCAACACUAACCCAAUAUCAGUUUGAAAAACAAGGACAUGACCAAUUAUCUUGUAUGUUAUGGGCUGGAUAAGGUGACGUUCUUAAUUACUAUUAUGGUAAUUCAAGUGAAAUCAUGUCCAUUAAGUUUUUGGCCAAGGCCGCAACAGGAGAAAGUCCAACGGAGCCUGCCUUCCUGUGCAUGUCAGCAGUUGAGAGACCAAACAUACUGUUUGAUAUAAGCCUAUAAGCAACCCACAUAAGCUUGAGGUGUUUCGUUGGAAAGGCAGGGUAUCUUGAUAGAUUUGCAUGGCGAAAUCAUUAAGGUGCUAUGCUCUCUUUCAUGAGUAUGUGUUAAUUAAAAUCCACUUCGAUUUUCCACUCCUUUAUCAACUAUUUUGUCCUUCAGGUGGAGAAUGACCUAGGGGUUCUAUUUUUCAUCUUACUUUUGUUCUUUGUUGUUCAAUAUCACUUAUUUGUUAAGCUCAACACCAGCAAUGAUAUUAUUUUAUUUUUUUUGUUAAGAUGUUUUCUGCUUUAUUUUGAUUUCUGAGUUUCUUUUGAUUUCUCCUCCGUGUUCUUCUCAUUCCAGUUUACUGGGAUUUCUUUGUUGGUCAUUGGUAACCGAAAUAAAUAAAUUUGAUUAUAAUUCAUAGUUAUAGUAACAGGUUUAAGUUGAUUUGGAUAAUGAGAACCUUGAAACUAUGCAACUGUGGAAACUAUCCUCACUGUGAUUUUUGGCGCAAUAGAGUUUACAGUAUUGCAUUGUUGCUUGAUUUCUAAAGCCAGUUGAAUCAUUGCACCCUUGGAACGAAGAUAGGAAAAGAGUUUCUGCACCAGGUUAGUGUUUCUUCUUUUCGUCGCAUUAUUUUAUUUUUUAGGACAAUCCCCAAAACAAAGUAGUUAGAGGAUGGUUUUGCCGUUUACCUGUUUCUUAUCCUUAUGUCAUUGCACCUGGAAUACCUGUUUCAAAUCCCCAAAACAAAGUAGUUAGAGGAUGGUUUUGGCAGAGCACAUGGUUUUCACCGAUGUCAUUGUGGGUUCGACCCCCACAUAGUUACGCGAGUAAUUCAAAUCCUUAUAUGCUUCAGAUAACAGUAUUUAGUGUGACACUGGCGUACAUGUAGAGAAAGUGGCAUCUAUAUCCAUUAUACAGGUCGUGUUGAAAAUUUACUAAACAUAUGGGGAUAAUGUUUGAAGCUUUUUGCAAGAAGAAACUUGAGGAGGACCUGGGGUUUGUCUAUAGGGAAGAUCCAAGAAUUGCAAUAACCGAACUUGGUCUAUAAGUUCAAAGGUACUUUCUAAAGCUAAUACAGAUAUCCGUACUCAUCAAUUUUUUCAGGUCAGUGUUUUAGAUCUGGGAUGGAAUACCAAGUCAA